GACUCUUGAGCAGAGCGCACGUACAGUAGGCAGAGGCACACGAGUUUGCAGAAGGGUGAGUGCUGUGUGUUUGGGGGUGGUAGCGGCUGAUUCCUCGUGAAUAGAAGGCGGCGAGAAGACAUCGUGCACGUGUGAUUCCCAUAAGCUAAAGGAUCGUCGCUAAGUACAGAGUGUGCCUGCCACUCGAGGUCCGCCGCAGGUUGCCUCCCGCGGCUAUGGACAAACGGACUUUCAGGCACAGAGGACCCUGGAAACGUUAACAAAACGAGGGAAAUGUCGCUAAAGCCGAGAACAGUUGGCACGUAAUGGGAGAUCAAGCUGUGACUAUAUUUAGAAAGUUUUUUUCCAGAGAGUGCGCUCAAGCGCCACUUCACCAUGCCGCUGACUUCUUCUCACUCUUAGAGCCAUGUCCCAAACCGAAGUGGAUCUGGCGGGAUGUGGCAUCCCCCUAAGUCCCAUCCUGGACGAGGACUCCUGUCUUCCUUCGCUCCAUGUCACGCCGCAGCGGCGGAGGAGACCGUCAGGCAAUGUCCGUCGCAAUUCGCACAGGUUCAACCGGAGGGACUCCACCGAGUUGGACACCCUGGUGUUCGAAGGAUCGCCUUCUUGGUCCACUGAGAGCAGGGAGGAGAUCUGCGUGGACCCCACACCGCUGCCUCUGCCUUUGCCCCAACCUCAGCACCUCCAAGCCCAGCUUCGUUCGCAGAACACAGUGGAUAUCAGUUCGGACUCGGAGGACGAGAGCGGCCAGCAGAAGCCCGCUCAGGUCGUUCAGAGAGCCCCUUCGGUUGAGAGUCGCUUGGAGCUGGAGGAGAAAGAGGACGUGGAGACCAAAGCGGUGGCCAUCUCACCUGACGGCCGUUACCUGAAGUUCAAUAUCGAAAUCGGAAGGGGCUCCUUCAAGACAGUCUACAAGGGUCUGGACACGGAGACCACGGUGGAGGUCGCCUGGUGUGAGCUGCAGACCCGAAAGCUGACCAAAGCUGAGAGACAGAGAUUCAGUGAGGAAGUGCAGAUGCUGAAGGGACUACAGCAUCCCAAUAUUGUCCGCUUCUACGACUCCUGGAAGUCCACUUUGAAGGGACACAAAUGCAUCAUCAUGGUCACAGAACUCAUGACGUCAGGCACCCUCAAAACGUAUCUGAAGAGGUUCAAGGAAAUGAAGCUGAAACUGCUGCAGCGAUGGAGCCGACAGAUCCUGAAAGGUCUACAUUUCCUGCACACUCGCUCUCCCCCUAUCAUCCACCGGGACCUGAAGUGUGACAACAUCUUCAUCACUGGGCCCACUGGUUCUGUCAAGAUAGGAGACCUGGGUCUUGCGACACUGAAGAGCGCCUCAUUUGCCAAAAGCGUCAUAGGCACUCCAGAGUUCAUGGCCCCAGAGAUGUAUGAGGAAAAGUAUGAUGAAGCCGUGGACGUCUAUGCCUUCGGGAUGUGCAUCUUGGAGAUGACCACGUCCGAGUAUCCGUACUCUGAGUGCCAGAAUGCUGCCCAGAUUUACCGGAAAGUAACAAGCGGCAUGAAGCCAGACAGCUUCUUUAAGGUCAAAGUUCCUGAGCUGAAGGAGAUCAUUGAAGGCUGCAUCCGGAUGAACAAAAAUGAAAGAUACACCAUCCAGGACCUUCUGGACCACACUUUCUUCCAGGAGGACAACGGGGUGCAUGUGGAGCUGGCUGAGGAGGACGACCACACCAAGUCGGCUCUGAAGCUGUGGCUACGGAUGGACGAUACAAAGAAGCUGCAUGGCAAAUACAAAGACAACAAUGCCAUAGAGUUCCUGUUUGAACUUUAUAAAGACCUGGCAGAGGAAGUGGCGCAAGAGAUGGUGGUCCUGGGUUUUGUUUGUGAAGCAGACUACAAACUGGUGGCCAAAGCCAUACGUGACAGGGUGACAGCCAUCAAACGCAAGAGGGAAAAACAGAGGCGCAUGGAUGAGGAGAAGAAGAAGAAGCAAAAAGAGGAGGAGGAAGAGGAAAAGAAGCAACAGGUACCAGUCAGCAGGCCGGAAGCGACAGGACCAGUGGCGAGUUCCCCUCAGCCUGAGGUGGGCAAGGCUAGCAGUGUGGCUACACCCCCUGCCACUCCUAGGGCUGCCCCCACAGGCUCGGCUGACUCUGGAAUUAAUGCUAACUUCCUGCCUGAGCCGGAAGAGCCCGAGGCGGACCAGCACCAGCACUAUCUGAUCCGGCACACCAGCUACUCAUCUGCUACAUCUGACUGUGAAACCGAUGGGUACCUCAGCUCUUCAGGGUUGCAGGAUCAGCAAACCCCCAGUACCCCUGUUCCUGAGAUGCCCACCUGCCUCUCCCCUAGAGUGCCCCACAGAUUUCCAUUGACUAUAGCAGUCAGCCAGCAGCCGGAAUGGAUGCCCUCGAGGCCAGCGAGUGGGUUCUCUUCUCCAGUGGACAGCUAUGCCUCUGAUGUGACAUCGGGGAUGAGCGAUGGCUAUGAGGGGUUGUCAGCGUCCGAGAGAAGCAUAAAGUCCCCAGUGAAGCGCACCUCUGGGAAACUCCUUCGCCGGAAAAACCGCUCUAGACUGCGCAUCCUCAGCCUAUCUGACAAGACAGACCGAGUGAUUGAGUGUCAGCUGCAGACGCACAACAACAAAAUGGUGACCUUCAAAUUUGAUCUGGAUGGAGACAGUCCUGAAGACAUUGCAGCAGUAAUGGUUGCCAGUGACUUCAUUCUACCUGCGGAGAAGGACAGCUUCCUCCUUCGAAUCCGAGAGAUCAUCAGUCGGGCGGAGAGCUUGAUGAUGAAGGAGAGCGAGGAUGGACAUGGACAGAGGGUGCCCACGACCAGUGGACCUGUGGUAUUCUCUGCCUCUCAGCCCAACUUGCAUAUGCCAGAAUUGUUACGAUCCUGGUCUUCAUCAUCCUUACCAGAUUUUGUGUCGGCUCCAGCUUUGUCGCCUCCCAGCAGAUCUUCUCUGGACAGCCCGAUGUCUGAAGGGUCCUUCUACAUUGGCGCAGACGUUACCUCACCCGGCCAGCCAGCGAGGCCCCCUUCGACCCCCUCUACUCCAGCAUCUCCAAAUGUCUUCUACCAGGCAGCUGUACCCUCUCCAGCAGGGAUGGCUUCCCCUUCAGCAUCUGCCACGCCACUCAGCCCCCAACAGAAUGUCCCUACCUACAACCCGGCACAAUACGUCCCAGAAGAACUCAUGUCCCCUUAUUCGGUGAACUUAGGCCCUCCACUGUACACUCACCCCUCGCACCACCUCACCCAGCUGGCAGGCAGCCACUUAUCAUCCCCACCAUCUCCUGUACCACCCAGACAGCCCAAUCUCAUCCACACGGCAUAUCAGGAGGGGUUUGUGGGCCAGCACCAGGACCCUGUGGCCAUUCCUCUGGUCACACAGGCUCAGCAGCAACCUCUUAACAUGUGGCCCCCACCUGCUCAGCCCGUCUUUUCACUGGCAAAUGUACUGUCCCUGGCAAUGAGCGUAGCGCAGUCCUUCCUACCUCCUGCUGGUCCAGCUGCCAGCACGCUAGCCCAUGGGCUACCACAAGGGGGCAGCUAUGUCCAGCCACUGCCAGUUCACAUUGCAGCCCAGCCACCCUACCAUCCGAUGUACCUUCAGAUGCCCAUCUUUCACGGGACGCCACAUCCUGCCUACAGUGCCACCAUCCAGCCCAAUCAGCCUGCCUCUUUGGAUCAUCACAGACCUCCUGUCAUGUCCAGUACUGUGGGGUCCACUGAGGUUCUGCGCCCAGGUCCCCCGACGGCCUCUCCUGCAGGUCUACUGCCAUCUUACUUUCAACAUUCUUCUUCUGCCAUCUCGGUGCCCGCAGCUACUCAGCUCGUCAGUAGUUCCCCCGUCCUGCCAGCCAGCCCAGCAAGCUCUGCGCCCCUCGUUUCCUUGGAUGAAUCCUCAACUCCACAGCCACAGUCCUGGCCGGUAAUGAUGACAGCAGGGGGCGCCAGCAGCUUGGUGUCAUCGAGCCCGAAGUCCGCAGCUGAUUUGGAGUCUCUGGGGACGAGUCCUAGCAAAGCCAGGCUGUCACCCAUCCACGAAGAAAUCAAGCCAACAGUCGUUGGGAGAUUCCAGGUAACCCCAAGCAAAGAUCACACGGCAGCUACCGCCUCCAAAAGCAGUCCUGGCAAAGAAAGCGACACAGAGAGCAGCACAGAAGAUCAGGAGGACUCAGAGGGGACAUCUGUCAUCAUGCUCCCCACAUUGUCGUCAGCGGCUGAUGGCGAUGUAGGCAGUGACCAGCAUAGCUCCAGCCAUGGCCCUGAACAGGAGGAAGAGGAAAGAGAAAAUAAGAGUGAAAAAGAGGAGGAGGAGGAAGAGCAGCAGCAACCGUCACAAUGUGAGCAGCUGGACAUCUUCAAUGAGACGGAGAGCAAAGCCUCAGACAGGGGUGGUGGGGGCACCAGUCACUCCAUGCCACUGAAUGUCUGGCUGCACUACUCCUACAACACAUCGUACUUCAGCAGUGAUGAGACAGAGAGUGAGGAAGACAACGACAUCUGGGAGGAACUGCAGACCCUGCAAGAGAAGCACAUGAAUGAGGUGCAGAACCUUCAAGCUUUGCAGAAAAGGGAAAUUGAGGAGCUUUAUGAGAAGAUGGGCAAGGUGCCACCGCCAGGAAUUGUGUCGCCAGCCGCCAUGCUGUCGAACCGCCAAAGACGUCUCUCUAAAGGGGGCGCCUACCCCUCCUCGCGACGCAACAGCCUGCAGCGGCUGGAGAGUCUGCCCCCAGCGGGGAUAAUGAGGAGGAACUCUCUGACGGGGAGCAGCAACGGAUCACAGGAGCGAACGUACAAGGGCGUCACGUUCAGCGGGGACUGCGGCAGGGUGACGGUGAUGGAUGGAGAAGCCUUCUAGACUACCUCAGCUGAUCCAGACACACCAGAGGACUGGCCAAGCACUGAUGGACAACGAGCACAUGUGCUUUCAUGUCCUUCCACCCUCUUGUCUACUCACGAAAAAAACAAAAAAAAAACAAAACGGGUGGCAAGGAGCAGGCAAGUCAAUGCCAAAGACUCAAAUGAAAGUGAGGACAUGGUGUCCUUCGGCCCACGGGACAAUGGGAGUUCUUUACGUGAAGCAUGAUGGCACUCCACGGGCAGACGAAGAAGAGAUGGCAAGCCGACUUGACCCUCACCUUUUUAGCGACUACGAUUGUGCUGAUCUGCUGCUAGCCCCCCACCCCGUCCUCUACCCCAAAAACAAGACUUGCUAAAGGUGGUCCUUUGUAGGAAAACAACCAAAGUAAGGAGACUUAAAACAGCUGCAAGUGAAAUGGCGCCCCCCAGUGGACACAGGGUUAAGUACACCCUGUGACGUCUCCAGCAGACACUUUUAUUUUGGGCUAGUGGGUUGCAUGGUUAUGGAAUUGCCUCAUUUUGACUCAUUCUGCCCCUAGUGGAUAUAUAGGGUAUAGCACUGCAGAUCCCAAUGAGGAAGGAGGUCCUCACUGCAGCAUGCGGAAUGGGGUCUGCCUAAACACGGACAGCGUUAAGCAUUUAAUUCACAGAUGUCCCCCUGAGCUCCAUAUGGUGGACCGGAAAGAUGUGACCUGCACAGAAACGCUUUUGUAAACUUGGAUUACUUGACAAUCGUCAUUAUUUGAGUCGGAUAACCCCCCCGUACAGUACGAUAGUGUAACCAGCCGCUGUGACCUGACAGCUGUCACUACCAGCGUGCAGAAUGGGGUGUGACGCCUGUGGAUUGUGGGCAGAACUCAACAUGUAACUCAACCCAUGUCCAGCCACGCCCCAUUCCACACGCUGCAGUAGGGGGGGGGGGGGGGGGUGGUAUGCUUGAGCCCCAGUAGAUGUUCAGGGUUAACCAUAUUGACUCACUCUGCCUCAGUGGAUAUACAGCAGUUAGCACACCAAAUCACUCUGCAACUGCAGAGUUUAUCACAUUGACUCACUCUCGGCCCCCUAGUGGAUGUACAGGUUUAACACACCACAUUGUGCUGCCCCCAGUGGAUAUUCUGGGCUCAGCACACCAGCUUACUCUUUAACUAGUGGACAAAUAAGGUCUAUCACACUGACACACUCUAGGCUCCAGUGGAUAUAAAGGAUUUAACACUCUGCCCCAGUGGAUAUAUAGUGUUUAGCACAUCACUCACUCUGUGACUAGUGGGGAUAUGGAGAUUAGGAAUUUGACUCACUUUAGGCUACUGGUUUAUUACAUUGACUCACUCUGCCCCUAUUGGACAUAUAAAGGGUUAACUACAUUGACUCACUCCAGGCCCCAGUAGAUAUACAGCAUUGAACACACCAAAUCACUCUGUGACUAGUGGGGAUAUGGAGUUUAUGAAUUUGACUCACUGUAGGCCCCCUAGUGGAUAUAUAGAUUUAGCACACCACAUCACUCUGCCCCUAGUGGAUAUAUAGUGUUUAACACACCAAAUCACUCUGUGGCUAGUGGGUGUAUUGAGUUUAUCAUGUUAACUCACCCUCAGCCCCCUAGUGGAUAUGCAGGUUUAACACACCACAUCAUGCUGCCCCUAGCGGAUAAUUCUGGGUACAGCACACCAACUCACCCUGUAAUUAAUGAAUAUAUAGGGUCUAUCACCCGGCUCACUCUAGACUGAAGUGGCUAUGAAGGAUUUAACACACCAAAUCACUCUGUGACUACUGAGCAUAUGGACUUUAUAAAAGUGACUCUGUUUAAGCCACUAGUGGAUUUAUAAGGUUCAGCACACCACAUCCCUCUGCCCCUAGUGGUUAUACUGGGUUCAAAACGCCAACUCACUCUGUCCUUAACAGGCAAGCAGUAAAAUUUAUUGAGUGUAAACCUGUACCAAAAAUAUCCUGCAGGUGGCACCAGUGUCUUAUGCGGCAUUUCCUGAGCCCGGUUGUCUGUUUGGGAGUCGUAGCCUCUUCUGUCACCAGUGGGCACAAUAUGGUAGACUCUCUGGACAGGGUGCCAGUUCCAUCACAGGGUGGGUUCACUCAGCUCCAACUGGCAGUCACUGGUUAUCCAAACCCGACUGAUUGAGUGACAUUUUCUACGUUACACUCGUAGGCAGAGUUUUAAGUCAUUGAUGAGGCCGAUUCCUUGCUUUCCAUGAUGCUCUGCCCCCUAUUACUGCUCAUGAUGUGCCUCCCUAUCCAAGGAAAUAACAGCCCUGUGUGCAGCAUAUUAUUUCAAAAUCUGACAUGGCUGGGCAUAAGGGGAGGGUCAAUGGGCAGGGUUUGGGUCCCUGAGACCCCAAUGGUGUACAUUAAAGGCACUUCUAAGUCUAAACUGAUGACCUGUUAAGGAAUGACAUGCCACUGCUGGUAUUUGAUGACAGGCAGCUGCACCGUCAACUAUUGCUGGUGAAAUGCCAACCACAUGCCCCGGCUAUACAAAGCAGGGCUUGUGCCCACAUAAAUGAGGGCUGCUUUAACGUGUUUUUUUUUUCCCCCUCAGCUCCAUCCUUUUUUAUUUUUUUGAACAGCCAAUGUAAGGACAUCAUUUCUAAAGGCACUAUAUAAGUAAAACAUCACAGCUCCAAGGCUGCCAUACCACAACCUGCGUGAGGCUGGCAUUUCCUGCCGUUAAGGGGCAGAUUCAGUUUCACCACCUUCAGUGGGCACCCAACUGAGGAUAAACCAGUCCAGCUGAUGAGAUCCUGGUUUGUGCCCUCAUUGAACCUCCUCAGGUCUGGGUGGGGUAGAGGGAGAAGAAAACCCAAUGGUGUGAAAAAGUAAGUGCACCCCAUGAAAAUGCUUGCUGUUUGUCUACAGAUAAAGCUGAGAGACCUGAAUAAAAAUACAAAGAAUUCUGGCCUUUUGCAAUAAUUAAUUCAACAAAAACAUUAACAGAUGUAAGGGCCUAAUUUCUUAAUGUCAAUGCCUCACUGGCAAAGGCUAUCAUUAUUUGCAUAUAGCGCCUUUCCUCACUAGUCUACUAUACCUCACGGGCUCAAUAGCAGCAUAAAUAUAAAAGAGCCUCAUAAUUCAUGGUCAGAACCUCAAUUAAAAAUAUUUUGUAUAGCGCUCUUCACUGAACCUCUUACCAUCUGUAUUUCCAUUUAGCGCCUUUGCUUACCAUGUUGUUCACACCCAACAGUAAUGGAAACUGAACAUCAUUCAGUAAUACCCUGGUUAAAGCUAGCCAUCAUAGUCUUCAUUUUGAUAUAGUGCCUUUCCCACUACUUUACUUGUAUCAACCUGAAUAGCAAAGCAUUUAGUUAAUUCCAGAGUCAGAUUGUCAGCUGAUGUCAUCUUUCUGUUGAUAUAGUGCCUUUCAUGGUGAGCUUGCCCGGGUUUGGUACUAACCAAAAACAGAGAAUCAGUUUAAUGCCCAGAGUCUUCUGAUCUGAAGCUUUCCAGCGUCAUGUUGAUAGCAUAGCAUAGGGUUGUCCAACCCCGGUCCUGGUGGGCUGCAGGUUUUCAUUCUAACCAUCUUCUUAAUUAGUGAGCCGUUUUUGCUGCUCAUUAACUUGUUUUUUUUUUUGCCUUCAUUUUAAUUACUGUGACUCAGGCCCCUUAGUUGUCUCUUUUUCUUUAAUUAGCAGCCAAACAAUAAUGAGACACAAAACAAGCCGCCACACAACCAGCUCCCCCUGUGCCCAUCACACAAUAUCUGAAAAUAAAGAAAGGUGAAGGUCUCGGUGAGGUCUGUCUGCUCAGUUCACCAAAACAUUUUAAUGGCGUUCUUAGAAAAUCAAGAAAAAUCAACAGUUUCGGAAAUGUCUGCUGUGACAGAAUGAGAGCAGCAACAAGGCAUGGAAUUAAAUAACGGGCUUAAACACCAGCAAGACUCGGCUUCUCAUUAAGAGAUUGGUUGGAGUUUGAAACCCCAGUUUAGCUGCUCAUCUGUCGGCUCGUUUCACGUCUCAUUUCUGUUUGGCUGCCAUUUAAUGAAGAAACGAAUCAAAUCAGAGGACUGAAAAACAGAGCUAUUAAAAUGAAGGGAAAAGGACUUCAUUAGCAGUGAAAGCUGAUUAGGAAAAGGGUUAGAAUGAAAACCUGCAGCCACUGCGGCCCACCAGGCCUGGAGUUGGACACCCCUGGUAGAGCGCCUUUCACGGUUGUGGAUCCUUCUAGGAUGUCAGGACACGACUUCACAUUCUCAGGUUAAGUCAGAUUUGAACCCAUAACCUUAAAUUGAAGCUACUGGGGCGCACACGGCAGAGCUCCCUGCUCCGUAGACCCCACCCAGCGGCGCCAUUGGCCGGCGAUCCAGUAGGGGCGUGGCUUAAUCGCCUAUCGCGGAGAGAAGCACGAGGAGGCGUCCGUUGACUGCCAACACAAACGUGGUGCCUUUUGCUUUGCCUUUUUUAAUAUAUAUAUAUAUAUAUAUAUAUAUAUAUAUAUAUAUAUAUAUAUAUAUAUAUAUAUAUAUAAAACAGACUGCUGAUGAAGAUAAAACUUUAUAAAUAACAAUGCAAUGUUCUCUUUAAAACGCUAGCAAAUGUGUCAAAUAAAACUUAAAUAAAAUGUCAAAGAAUUUCUGGGACCAAUGCGUUAUUUUUGUGCAAAUAUAUCAAGUGAGGAAUCCUGGAUCUGAAAUGUCCAGCAGAGGGCGCCAAUGUACCAUGCACUCAACUGUUUCAUUAAUUGCGGGAGUCGUAGCCUUUUUUUUGUCGACAAUGGCGUCUUCUGCACAGGAUGCCAGUGUCACCACAGAGUGGGCACCACUCAGGUCCAAG